GACGAACGCUGGCGGCGUGCUUAACACAUGCAAGUCGAACGAAGUGGCGAACGGGUGAGUAACGCGUAAUCAACCUGCCAUUCAGAGGGGGACAACAGUUGGAAACGACUGCUAAUACCCCAUACUGAAGGAGGGGCAUGCGUCGGAUUUGCUAGUUGGAGGGGUAACGGCCCACCAAGGCGAUGAUCAGUAGCCGGUCUGACAGGAUGAACGGCCACAUUGGGACUGGGACACGGCCCAGACUCCUACGGGAGGCAGCAGUGGGGAAUCUUCCGCAAUGGACGAAAGUCUGACGAUGCAACGCCGCGUGAGUGAUGACGGCCGUCGGGUUGUAAAGCUCUGUUAAUCGGGACGCGGUACCGGAAUAGAAAGCCACGGCUAACUACGUGCCAGCCGCCGCGGUAAUUC
rnacentral:rRNA from 1 species